UCUGACACCUCCUCUGUUCAUUUUACUGUGACAGUGAUGUGCUCAUGUCCACAGCUGCUGAACUAACAGGGCCUGAAAGUAAAGCGAGUACUGAGCCUCACAUCUCAACUUCUUUAACAUGAUGUUCAUGGUCUUCAUGUUUUGUUUCCUUCAUCUGCCGGGAAAUGACGGUGUCUCUCAUACCACCAAAAUCCUCCAAACACCUCCAUUCAUCAUUAAGAGAGCUGGUGAAUCUGUUGACAAUGAGAUCUCCUGCUCACACAGUAUAACAAAUUAUGAUCGUAUUCUCUGGUACAAGCAAGACAAAUACAAAUCUCUCAAGUUCCUGGGAUAUCUUAACUUGGACAACCUUUAUCCCGAGAAAGAUGUGAAAGGAAAGAUCAGCUUUAAUGGAGAUGGCCGUACACAUUCAAAGCUGACUAUAUCUGAUGUUUCAUUAAAUGACAGUGCAGUGUAUUUCUGUGCUGCCAGUUCCUCUCUCAGUGACCAAGUCCACCAGACACCAGCUGACAUGUACAAAAAACCAGGAGAACAAGCCAAUAUCAGCUGUUCACACAGUAUUCAAAACUACGAUCGUAUCCUCUGGUACAAACAAUUAAAGGACAGACAGCUGCAGUUACUGGGUUACAUGACGGGAGGCACUGGAUUACCAGAGACUGGAUCUGGUUCCUCUCUGAGUGACAAAGUCUACCAGACUCCAGCUCACAUGUACAACAAACAAGGAGAAACUGCCAAAAUCAACUGUUCACACAGUAUUGACAGCUACAACCGGAUCCUUUGCUGCUGA